rnacentral:rRNA from 1 species
AUACGUAGGGUGCGAGCGUUGUCCGGAAUUACUGGGCGUAAAGAGCUCGUAGGUGGUUUGUCGCGUCGUCUGAGAAAUUCCGGGGCUUAACUCCGGGCGUGCAGGCGAUACGGGCAUAACUUGAGUACUGUAGGGGAGACUGGAAUUCCUGGUGUAGCGGUGAAAUGCGCAGAUAUCAGGGGGAACACCGGUGGCGAAGGCGUGUCUCUGGGCAGUAACUGACGCUGAGGAGCGAAAGCAUGGGUGGCGAACAGGAUUGGAUACCCUGGUAGUCCAUGCCGUAAACGGUGGGCGCUAGGUGUAGGGGUCUUCCACGACUUCUGUGCCGUAGCUAACGCAUUAAGCGCCCCGCCUGGGGAGUACGGCCGCAAGGCUAAAACUCAAAUGAAUUGACGGGG